rnacentral:rRNA from 1 species
AGAGUUUGAUCCUGGCUCAGGACGAACGCUGGCGGCGUGGAUUAGGCAUGCAAGUCGAGCGACGGAUAGCCUUCGGGCUAUUACGGAGCGGCGAACGGGUGAGUAACACGUGAACAAAUUGUCCUCACGUUCCGGAUAAUUGGGAGAAAUCCCUUGUAAUACGGGCGAGGGUCUUUGCUGGGCAUCCAGCGGGGAAGGAACGUUCAAGCUUUUGUUUGAGCGGCGCGAGGAGAUGUUCGCGGCCUAUCAGGUAGUUGGUGGGGUAAUGGCCUACCAAGCCGACGACGGGUAGCUGGUCUGAGAGGAUGGUCAGCCACAUUGGGACUGAGACACUGCCCAGACUCCUACGGGAGGCUGCAGUCGAGAAUCUUGGGCAAUGCACGAAAGUGUGACCCAGCGACGCCGCGUGAAGGAUGAAGGCCCUCUGGGUUGUAAACUUCUUUUAUGGGGGAAGAAUCAAUGACGGUACCCCAUGAAUAAGCCACGGCUAACUACGUGCCAGCAGCCGCGGUAAUACGUAGGUGGCAAGCGUUGUCCGGAUUUACUGGGCGUAAAGCGUGCGCAGGCGGACGGGUAAGUAGGAAGUGAAAGGUUGGAGCUCAACUCCAACACUGCUCCCUAUACUGCCUGUCUUGAAUGUCGGAGAGGAAGAGGGAACGACACGUGUAGCGGUGAAAUGCGUUGAGAUGUGUCGGAACACCAAUGGCGAAAGCACUCUUCUGGACGAAUAUUGACGCUCAUGCACGAAAGCUAAGGUAGCAAACAGGAUUAGAUACCCCAGUAGUCC